GAUCCUGGCUCAGGACGAACGCUGGCGGCGCGCCUAACACAUGCAAGUCGAACGGAGCUAUGUUGAAAGCUUGCUGGAUAUAUAGCUUAGUGGCGGACGGGUGAGUAACACGUGAGCAACCUGCCUUUCAGAGUGGAAUAACGUUUGGAAACGAACGCUAAUACCGCAUAACGUCAGAGGAUGGCAUCAUUCUUUGACCAAAGAUUUAUCGCUGAAAGAUGGGCUCGCGGCCGA
rnacentral:rRNA from 1 species